UAAUACAUGCAAGUCGAGCGGACAGAAGGGAGCUUGCUCCCGGAUGUUAGCGGCGGACGGGUGAGUAACACGUGGGUAACCUGCCUGUAAGACUGGGAUAACUCCGGGAAACCGGAGCUAAUACCGGAUAGUUCCUUGAACCGCAUGGUUCAAGGAUGAAAGACGGUUUCGGCUGUCACUUACAGAUGGACCCGCGGCGCAUUAGCUAGUUGGUGAGGUAACGGCUCACCAAGGCGACGAUGCGUAGCCGACCUGAGAGGGUGAUCGGCCACACUGGGACUGAGACACGGCCCAGACUCCUACGGGAGGCAGCAGUAGGGAAUCUUCCGCAAUGGACGAAAGUCUGACGGAGCAACGCCGCGUGAGUGAUGAAGGUUUUCGGAUCGUAAAGCUCUGUUGUUAGGGAAGAACAAGUGCAAGAGUAACUGCUUGCACCUUGACGGUACCUAACCAGAAAGCCACGGCUAACUACGUGCCAGCAGCCGCGGUAAUACGUAGGUGGCAAGCGUUGUCCGGAAUUAUUGGGCGUAAAGGGCUCGCAGGCGGUUUCUUAAGUCUGAUGUGAAAGCCCCCGGCUCAACCGGGGAGGGUCAUUGGAAACUGGGAAACUUGAGUGCAGAAGAGGAGAGUGGAAUUCCACGUGUAGCGGUGAAAUGCGUAGAGAUGUGGAGGAACACCAGUGGCGAAGGCGACUCUCUGGUCUGUAACUGACGCUGAGGAGCGAAAGCGUGGGGAGCGAACAGGAUUAGAUACCCUGGUAGUC
rnacentral:rRNA from 1 species